AACGCAUAUGCAAUGUAUGUUCCCUUCGGGGCAGGGGAGACAGGUGGUGCAUGGUUGUCGUCAGCUCGUGUCGUGAGAUGUUGGGUUAAGUCCCGCAACGAGCGCAACCCUUACCCUCAGUAGCCAGCAAGAGAGAUGGGCACUCUGUGGGGACUGCCAGGGACAACCUGGAGGAAGGCGGGGAUGACGUCAAAUCAUCAUGCCCCUUAUGGCCUGGGCUACACACGUGCUACAAUGGCGUAAACAAAGGGAAGCGAGAUGGUGACAUGGAGCGAACCCCAAAAAUAACGUCUCAGUUCGGAUUGCAGCCUGCAACUCGGCUGCAUGAAGCUGGAAUCGCUAGUAAUCGCGGAUCAGAAUGCCGCGGUGAAUACGUUCCCGGGUCUUGUACACACCGCCCGUCACACCAUGGGAGCCGGGAAUGCCCGAAGUCAGUGGCCCAACCGCAAGGAGGGAGCUGCCGAAGGCAGGCUCGGUGACUGGGGUGAAGUCGUAACAAGGUAGCCGUAUCGGAAGGUGC
rnacentral:rRNA from 1 species